UUUUUAUUUUUUUAUUUCUUUUUAAGUUUUUUAUUCCGGCGUACGCGUGUUGCUAGGGGGUUUUGGUUUGGUCGAGGGACUGCAGUGCAGCAUCCUAGUUCUUCUGGUAAUUAGGGUGGAGCUCCUGUUUGGGUGUUCUACAAUAGAAGCGUGAACGUUCGAGUAGCAAUGCCCUCAGUCCUCCCUAGGUUGCUUCCGUGAGAGGAGUCCUCACCUGCGGGGAUAUUCUUAAGAAGGUAUGUAAUGGA
rnacentral:lncRNA from 1 species